UACGUAGGGGGCAAGCGUUGUCCGGAUUUAUUGGGCGUAAAGAGCGUGUAGGCGCCGGGAGGUCCGUUGUGAAAACUCGAGGCUCAACCUCGAGACGCCGAUGGAAACCCCCUGGCUAGAGUCCGGAAGAGGAGAGUGGAAUUCCUGGUGUAGCAGUGAAAUGCGCAGAUAUCAGGAGGAACACCGGUGGCGAAGGCGGGUCUCUGGGCCAUAACUGACGCUGGAGGAGCGAAAGCGUGGGGAGCGAACAGG
rnacentral:rRNA from 1 species